rnacentral:rRNA from 1 species
AUUGAACGCUGGCGGCAGGCCUAACACAUGCAAGUCGAACGAGUGGCGGACGGGUGAGUAAUGUCUGGGAAACUGCCCGAUGGAGGGGGAGAACUACUGGAAACGGUAGCUAAUACCGCAUACCAUCGGAUGUGCCCAGAUGGGAUUAGAGAGUAGGUGGGGUAACGGCUCACCUAGGAGACGAUCCCUAGCUGGUCUGAGAGGAUGACCAGGCACUGUGGAACUGAGACACGGUCCAGACCCCUACGGGAGGCAGCAGUGGGGAAUAUUGGACAAUGGGCGCAAGCCUUAUGCAGCCAUGCCGAGUGUAUGAAGAAGGCCUUCGGGUUGUAAAGUACUUUCAGCGAGGAGGCGUUACUCGCAGAAGAAGCACCGGCUAACUCCGUGCCAGCAGCCGCGGUAAUAC